AGCUUGGUCUGGCAGCUGCAGAACCCAUAUGGCGGCAAGCUUCUGACUCCUGCAGCUGCUGGCGGCGUGCUUCCCCAGGCUCCGGACUAUGAACUUCAUCCAAAAUCCUCCUUGUUUCCAUAGCAACUGGGACAGCCACGGGUCCCGGCGUUUCGGAAAACGAGAGAGUGGAGUUUGAAAGAAAUGAAACAAUAAACAAUGCAUGGUAAAAUGUGAGUCUUCAAGGAACUAGACAAACAAAGACACUUGGAAAUUCACUCGGCAUGGAAUCCAUCAGUAUGCAUUGGCAGGAGAAUGUCAACCGGGAAGAGCUUGAGUUAGUUUCAGAUAAAUAUCAAAAGUAU
rnacentral:lncRNA from 1 species